UUUUGUGAUUUUUAAAUAAAGUUUGGGAAAUGGCACUUCGUAAUUUUACUUGAAGAGUAACAGUUUUAAAAGCUAUAGAAAGUCUUAAGAUUAAAAAAACUUGUAAAAUUUUAAGCUAGCCUUUCCCAAAUUCAUGAUUCUAAAAUCCUUUGUAUGCAGAACUUAUUAAUAUCUUCAGAAAUAUAGUUUAAGAAGUACUGUUUUAAGAGGUUGGGAGUCAUAGGAGAGUUGGCCCUUUCCCUUACUGCUUUUACAGACUAUUCUUCUCUACCUAGACCAGAAGCCCCUGGUCCCUCUGUCUCCCUUUCCCCUAUGCCACCCUCAGAGGUCGAACUCCAAAGUGGGAAGAUCAGUAGGGAACCUGAACCUGGGGCUGGCCCACAGGCCGAGGAGUCAGCAACUGUCUCAGUCCCUGCACCCAUGAGCCCCACAAGAAGACGAGCCCUGGACCAUUAUCUCACCCUUCGAAGCUCUGGAUGGAUCCCAGAUGGACGAGGUCGAUGGGUAAAAGAUGAAAAUGUUGAGUUUGACUCUGAUGAGGAGGAACCACCUGAUCUCCCCUUGGACUGAUACCCUUUUCCCAUUCAUUCACAAAUAAACUACAAUGGGUGCUGAGAA
rnacentral:sRNA from 1 species